rnacentral:lncRNA from 1 species
CAGAAGCAGCCCAGGCAACGCAAGCUAGGCUUUAGAUGAUAGGUUAGACUUUUUUUGGGGUUGGGAGUGAAUAGAGAGAAAAAUCUUGCAUAAUAUUGGAAGGGUGAAGUGGGUAGGAGGAAGGAUCCAAAUCCUUGAAAAGUAGACUGCACACUGCAAACGAACCCAAAAAGCAAAGAAACAGGGCAGUGCUUCCCAUUUUACGAGGACCGAAUAUUUAUUACAUAAAACAAACAAAACAUCAUUAAAUUUAUAUAUAAAUCUAACAUGGUCGUG